rnacentral:rRNA from 1 species
AAGGAAUAUUUCUCAAUGGGAGAAAUCCUGAAGCAGCAACGCCGCGUGGAGGAUGAAGGGUCUAUGACUUGUAAACUCCUGUAAAGAAGGAAAAAAUUCCCAUUUGAUGGGAGAUGAUGGUACUUCUGGAGUAAGCCCCGGCUAACUACGUGCCAGCAGCCGCGGUAAUACGUAGGGGGCAAGCGUUGUCCGGAUUUACUGGGUGUAAAGGGUGCUCAGGCGGAUUUGUAAGUCAGAGGUGAAAUCUUACAGCUUAACUGUGAAACUGCCUUUGAUACUGCAAGCCUAGAGUAUGGAAGAGAGUGAUUGAAUAUCUGGUGUAGCAGUGAAAUGCGUAGAUAUCAGAUAGAACACCAAUGGCGAAGGCAGUCACUUGGUCCAUUACUGACGCUAAAGCACGAAAGCGUGGGUAGCAAACA